AUUGAACGCUGGCGGCGUGCUUAACACAUGCAAGUCGUGCGGUAACAGGCGUAGCAAUACGUGCUGACGAGCGGCGAACGGGUGCGUAAUACAUGGGAAUCUGCCUUUUAGUGGGGAAUAACCCGGCGAAAGCCGGGCUAAUGCCGCAUAAGAUCUUCGGAUGAAAGCGGGGGAUCGUAAGACCUCGCGCUGAUAGAUGAGCCCAUGCCGGAUUAGCUAGUGGUGAGGUAACGGCUCACCAAGGCGACGAUCCGUAGCUGGUCUGAGAGGACGGCCAGCCACACUGGGACUGAGACACGGCCCAGACUCCUACGGGAGGCAGCAGUGGGGAAUAUUGGACAAUGGGGGAAACCCUGAUCCAGCGACGCCGCGUGUGUGAAGAAGGCCUGCGGGUUGUAAAGCACUUUCGGUGGG
rnacentral:rRNA from 1 species